CAUGAGCCAGUGAGGAAGAUAAGAUCAUUCAGAACUUAGUGUGAAUCAAAAUUUUAAAAAUAUUUGCCAUAUUCUUUGAUUUUUAGAGGGAAAAAAACCUGACAAAGGUGGGGAAGAUGGGAAGAAGAAGGGAAAGGGAAAGAAAGUGAGGAGGAACAGGAGGAAGAAGAGGAGGAAGAACAAGAGCAAGAAGAAGGAAGAGGAAAAGAAACAACAUGGUUCACCACCAUAGCCCUAUGAGCUGAGUCCACUGGAACUGAAGACUCCCAAACUCAAGAGAUCUACUGGCCUCAACUGGGAUCAUAGGCUUCUACCAUCAUAUUCAUUACUUCUAACAGCACAGUCUUCCUACUAUCCUUGAGGAGAACUGCAUUUGAGAUGUUUUCAGAGACUGAAUUCCUGGUUCCCAGCCCCGGAGCAUCGGUGGAAGAACAAUGGUAAAUCCUUGGGGGUCACUGAAAGUGUAAGUCGGAUAAAUCUAUUCCUAUUCAAUUUGGGGUCCA